GUGAAUAUAUUUGCUAACAUCUUUCUUAACUCAGGAUCUGUUGCCCCCACAUCAUCAUCCUCAGAAGUGGCGAUUUUACCAUCUUCAAAUAAUGCUCGCCCCUCUGCUACCAGACGGCCAAUUUGAUCAUCAGAUGUAGACAACAAAUCUAAAGCAACUGCAACUGAGGAUUCCACGAUAAAUUUAUCAUCCUCCUUGCUAGACAAAUAAAGGUUGCACUCUUUAAGCUGGUUGCAGAGAGUCCAGCAGUAACG
rnacentral:misc_RNA from 1 species